rnacentral:rRNA from 1 species
GAUGAACGCUGGCGGCGUGCCUAAUACAUGCAAGUCGAGCGAACAGAUGAGGAGCUUGCUCCUCUGACGUUAGCGGCGGACGGGUGAGUAACACGUGGAUAACCUACCUAUAAGACUGGGAUAACUUCGGGAAACCGGAGCUAAUACCGGAUAAUAUAUUGAACCGCAUGGUUCAAUAGUGAAAGACGGUUUUGCUGUCACUUAUAGAUGGAUCCGCGCCGCAUUAGCUAGUUGGUAAGGUAACGGCUUACCAAGGCAACGAUGCGUAGCCGACCUGAGAGGGUGAUCGGCCACACUGGAACUGAGACACGGUCCAGACUCCUACGGAAGGCAGCAGUAGGGAAUCUUCCGCAAUGGGCGAAAGCCUGACGGAGCAACGCUGCGUGAGUGAUGAAGGUCUUCGGAUCGUAAAACUCUGUUAUUAGGGAAGAACAAAUGUGUAAGUAACUAUGCACGUCUUGACGGUACCAAAUCAGAAAGCCACGGCUAACUACGU